AAUAUCAUACGCACGCCAUGCGAAAAUUAGGGCUAGAAAAGUUAUUAUUUAUUUACGAACCAUGAAAUGAUGAGGUUAACUGAUAAAUGUUAAAAGUUACCUUGUUCAUGCCAUUCCCCAUGGCAGGCGGGAGAACGCGUCUUCUCUACAAGGAUCACAUGUCUCCCUAUUUCGGAGGUCAGGAACACACUCCAACAGAGGUCUAGUUCUGUGGCACCUCUGUGUCUGGUCUGGAUGGGUCGAUAUAUGGGAAUUUCGGGUGCUGCGCUGUAGCGAGACCCAGUAAAAGAAUGGAAAUUAACAUUUCUUUUAGUACACCUAUCAUAAACCUAAAAAAAUUUGAAAAAUCCUUCCAAAAUAAACUGAAACUUCCUGUUUAAAGGAUGAUGUAAAUGGAUGAUGAAUUGUAAUGUGUAGGGUGAAUAAUAACAGUGUAAAGAAAAAAGGAAAGUUUAUUAUGUGUUUUAAAAGAAAAAUAAUCCUACAUUGUAUAAUUAAGAAAGUUAAAAAAUAUAUCUCAAAUUUUAACCAAGUUUUAACAGCGCCAUCUAACAAUGGCCAUUUCUACUAUAAAUUUAAAACUGAAUAAUGUUAGUAGCAACUCAUAUUAGAAAUUAGAGGUAAUUAUUAUAUAUAUUAUUUUAUAAUUGUCAUUAUAGAGGAAAAUAUAAUUCUAAUUAAGCUAAUGUUAAUACAAAUAAAAACCUAGACAUGAUUAGAUAUAACCUAAAAAUUAUUUUGACGUUAGAACUGACAAAUAUAAAAUGUCAAUAUUGAUAGGUAUGAUUUUAAUGAAUUUAAAAGGUAAUAAAUGUAAUCUAUAAAGA